rnacentral:rRNA from 1 species
AACGAACGCUGGCGGCAGGCUUAACACAUGCAAGUCGAGCGAGGGCUUCGGGCCUAGGGGCGGACGUGGGGGGAACGCGGGGUAACGUACCCUUCUGUCUGGAAUACCUCUGGGAAAGCGGGAUUAAGGCUGGAUACGCCCAUGGCGAAUGGGUGCUCCUGCGGAAUGGUGUGUGGGGGAAGGAUCGGGCCGCGGCGGAUGGGCUGGCGGGUAGGGUGAUGGCCGGUCAAGUCGAGGAUUCGCAGCUGGUUUGAGAGGAUGCUCCGCCACACUGGGACUGGGACCCGGCCUCGACUCCUACGGGAGGGAGCAGUGGGGUAUCUUGGACGAUGGGGGCAAACGUGAUCCAGCCAUGUCGGGUAAGCCAUGAAGGCGUUAGGAUUGUAAAGCCCUUUCAGCCGGGAAGAUAGUGACGGUACCCGCAGAAGAAGCCCCGGCUAACUCCGUG